rnacentral:rRNA from 1 species
UACGUAGGGGGCAAGCGUUAUCCGGAUUUACUGGGUGUAAAGGGAGCGUAGACGGCAUAGCAAGUCUGAAGUGAAAGCCCAAGGCUCAACCAUGGGACUGCUUUGGAAACUGUUAAGCUAGAGUGCUGGAGAGGUAAGCGGAAUUCCUAGUGUAGCGGUGAAAUGCGUAGAGAUCGGGAGGAACACCAGUGGCGAAGGCGGCUUACUGGGCUUUAACUGACGCUGAGGCACGAAAGCGUGGGUAGCAAACAGG